rnacentral:lncRNA from 1 species
GCCCUCGACUAACCCCACUGCUGCGUUGCUGUCGCUGUCUGUGUCUGCUGCUGCAGCCAAUCGGUAAAUGUCACUCCUCUGUCUACGAUUUUUCGAGUUUAAACAUGGCUAGAUUUAACGUUUGGGUUUUAAUAAUUGCUAGUUUUACAUUAACUUUUUAUCAUGGAAAAUGACCUGCUCAGUCUCCCAAUAAAAGACCUGCUACAUUGUCUUUCUUUUCAAUUUUUAUUAACCUUUUUUGGUUCUCAUAACUAUAGAGAGAUUAUUCAUAUUAUUAUUCAUUUCUUCUUCUUUCAUUCUCAACAAUCUCUUCCCCCUAUUCUUCCAUAAUACUCUUUCUUUCUCUUCAUAUAUAAUCUUUACUUUCAAGCACCCUAAAUUUACAACCACAUAUUCCAGAGAGGAUUUUAAAAAAAAAUGGUGAUGAAAUUACCUUAUCUGGGUUUAUGUUUGUUUUUUGUUUUUUUAGUUUGGUUUCUAUUGUUGCUUCUAGGUCUGGAAAAGGGCUCCCAAUUCUUUCAUUCGAUGAAUGAUAUAAUCAGUUGUUUGGAGAUGAUAAUCUAGUUAUCCAUAGAGAUGGUAAAGCUGUUCACUUGUCUUUGAACAAAAGAAUAGGUUUGUUUCUUUUUUGCUAAGUUGGGUUCUUCUUUUUUCUUUGUUGUUUCAUUAAAAGGAAACAUUUUUUGCUUUUGAUGGUAGAGAAAAAUAGGGUCGGGGUUUGUGUCACAAGACCUUUACUUGCAUGGUUACUUCAGUGUUUCAAUAAAGUUACCUGCUGAUUACACUGCUGGAGUUGUGGUUGUUUUUUUAUGUGAGUUUAUCUAUGUUCUGCAUUAAUCUCUUUCCUUUUUUUUAUAUUAAAAUCUAUUUAUCUAACAGUUAAUUAUUUUAGAAGCUCUUUCAACAGUCCUUUUAAGCUCAUGGUUGCUAUUUAGUGUUAAUUAAUCUUUUUUUUUAAUUUUGAUACUAAUGAGAUUCAGAUGAGUUUGCCACUGUUUUCUUCACUUUCCUCUCAUGGCUCAACUUGGAGUUUGAAUAGGGUCUUGAAUGAAGACUUUGGUUUCUCUUUUCAAGUCACAAAAAUUUCAAAUUUUUAUUCAAGAAUCUGAUCAAAAUACGCAUGGAUAUGACUAUGAACAAGUUAAACUUAUCUCAGGUUGAUUAGAAUUUCCAGAUGGUUUUUUCAUGUUGAAGGAGUUGGCUUCUUUCAUAAAUGAAAUUCAUUUUCCUAAAUAUGGAUUUAAUUUAUGUGAUAAACAAGCAAGUGGAUUUAAACUAGUAUACAUGUUAAUUUAUAAUUGUUUUCAACUUACAUGCAUUUGAAUUUUGGAUUUUUUAAAUAAAAUUAUUUUUAUUUAACGUACAAGGGUGAAGCUAGAUUUAACGUUUGGAUUGAGGCUUGGUGUUGAACCUACUGUUUUGGGAAGCUUAUUAAGGUUAGUGUUCUCUUGAAUUUUAGCAUGCUUGUGCGAAAUAAAAUUUAAAUAUUUUCCGGGCAUGAUUGUAAAUGUAAAGAAUAUGGAAAAGAAUCAAAAGAAUGGCUUGCUGAUAUUACAUCUCCAUUACUGCCAAAUAUGAACAUAAAUCCGACUUAACCUUAUUUCAUUAAGUCUAUUUUAUUUAAAAAUAACAAUCAUACUGGUUUAUACUAAAGUUUGAGUUUUGGUUUACAUUAAAAUUUUUUUAAAUAAUGAAAAUGUUGAACUGAGCUGAGGUGUGUAUAUUAGUGAAAUGGUGAAAUCUUCUUUUGACAAUACAAAUGUAUGCCCAUACAGAUAUUACUCAAUUUACAUUAUUCUCAUUUUCAUUUCUUUAAAAUUACAUAACUUACAUACCUUACAUAAAUAUAUAUCAUAUCAUAACUUACAUACCUCACAUAACAUACCUAACUUACGUAACUUACAUAAUACAUAAAUAUAUAUCAUAUCAUAAAUGUACAUAACUUACAUAAUUUAAAUAACUUACAUAAUUUUCAUAACUUACAUUAUUUACAUAACUGACAUAAAUAAAUGCCAUAUUGUCAACUUUAGACUUCAAGAACAACGAAAUGGAUAAGAGUUGGAUGAAUUUGUCAAGGGUAAGCAACGACUACCGAAAUGGAGUACAAACUUUUCUAAAUUUUGCAUUUCAAAAUGCAAGCCAAGAGAAUAUGAUUCGUUGCCCGUGUAAGAAGUGUGGCAACAUCAAUUGGCAUUAUCGUGAAGUUGUCUACGAACAUCUAAUUGUGAUAGCUUUAUUUGGGGGUAUAAAAAAUGAAUUUUCCAUGGAGAGUGUAUAUUUAGUAAAUCCUCUUCAACAAUUAAUCCGGCUUAUCCUCAUGGUACUUACCAUUAGUCUGUUAGAGAAGAUGGCAUGGAAGGUAUGUUGCUAGAUACAUUUAAUAUGCACAGUCAUGGUUUGCAAUCGUUUCCACCUGACUUUAUUGCAUCCAAUGAUUGUAAUAUUGGUGGAAAUGUUUUUACCGAAACGGGAAGAAGUGUACCUGACGAAGAACAAAAUAAAGAAGCAGCGAAGUUCUACAAGUUAUUUAAUGAAAUGAAUGAAGAACUUUACGAGGGAUCUAAAUAUUCAAAAAUGUCCUUCUGCAUUUGUCUAUUUCACUUAAAAUGUUUGGGAGGGUGGACCGGAAACUCUUUUACAAUGCUAUUAGAGUUUUUGAGAGAGAUGUUUCCGUUUGUAAGAAUCCCUCAUUUAUGCAAAGAUAUGAAGAAACUGAUAAAAGAUUUAGGCCUUGGGUACGAAAAAAUUCAAAGUUGCCCAAAUGACUACAUGUUGUAUUGGGGUGAUUGGAAAAACCAACAGUCUUGUCAUGUUUGCGGUAAAUCUUGUUGGAUGAAUAUGAAUACAGAAGAUGUGAAUGAGAAUGAAGGUGAGGCACAAUCAAGAAAGAAGCUAGUAAAGAUUUUGCGAUAUUUUCCACUAAUACUAAGGCUUCAAAGGUUUUUCAUGUCGUCAAAAACAGCCGAGUCUAUGAGGUGGCAUCAUGAUCAACAACUCGAUGAUGGAUUAUUAAGGCGUCAUGUGGAUUCUUUAGCUUGGAAAUCAUUUGACAAUAAAUUUCCAAGCUUUACAACUGAUCCUUGGAAUAUGAGGCUUGGGCUAGCAUCAGAUGGAUUUAAUCAUUAUAAAAUCAUGAGUACUUCGUACAAUACUUGGCCUAUAGUGCUUGUUCUUUACAAUUUUCCUCCGUGGAUUUGCAUGAAGCAAUCUUCUUUUAUCUUAUCUAUGAUUAUCCUUGGACAGAAAGGUUCCGAAAAUGAUAUUGACAUUAUAUGCAGCCACUUAUUGAAGAGUUGAAACAGUUAUGGGCAGGUGUUGAAACAUAUGAUGUCUUAAGAAAUGAGAACUUUUAUUUACGUGCAUCUUUGUUGUGGACUAUUAAUGAUUUCCUAGCUUAUGCCAAUUUAUCUGGUUGGAGUACCAAAGGACGUUAUUCAUGUCCUUGUGCGGUGCAAACAUGUUUAAAAUGGUUAUAUAAUUGGAAGAAGUUCUCUUAUAUGGGGGCAUCGUCGGUGAUUAAAUGAAAAUCAUAGAUUUAGAUUUUAGAGGACUCUAUUUGACAGUACUGAAGAGUUCAGAGAAGCUCCUGAGUAGACCAUUGGAUCUGAAGUCUUGUUCAUGUUGAAAGAUAUCAAUUUCAGUUAUAGGAAGAUGAAUCAACCACUCAACACGCAAACAAAGAGAAGAUCGAUGGAUGAAUCUGAUGAUGAAUCUAAUGAUGAAUCUAAUAAAGAGGAUGAUCCUAAUGAGGUGGACUUGUGGAAAAAAGGAAGUAUUUUUUUAAGUUGUUUUAUUGGGAGUGUAGCGACGUAAAAUUUUUGCUUUUGUCACUAAUUGGGGUGAUUGAUGGAAAACUUGAAAACCGACUUUCGAUUUUAUUAAAAAAAGAGUCGCCACCGAUCCUUUUUCCUAGGUGUGAUCGGACACCUAAUAAAUCCUCUUUUUUUAAAAAUAAAAUUUAUUUUUUUAACAAAAAGAAGGCCGAGUUUAGGUCUACGUCAAAAGCCAGAGUAAAGUUGGGUUCGGGAAUCUGUUACGCGCGAGGAAGGUAUUAGCACCCUCGUGACGCCCAAAAUUGGUAUCUUAUCAAACACGUGUUGUCUUGAUUUUCAAAAAUACGAAUUCAAUUUGGCAUUUAAGCGUGAUCCGAUUGAAGGAAAUGAGAAGUUUCAAGUUUUUGGUUUUUUAGAAGGACGUCCCGUUUUUAACACGAGCCGACUAAUUUCACCCAACAUAGCGAUGAAAUCGAUGACUUAAUGUUAAAAUCGGUACGUUGCCUUAUUUAUUAAACUUAAUUAAAAACAUGAAUGAAAAUAUUUUUGAAAGUAAUAAAAACUUAUAACAAUUUUGUAAUAAAAUGCGAUCUGAAUAUAUAUUAAAUUCGAAAUGUGUAAAAAAAUUACGAAUAUAAGAAGCAGAUGAUAAACAUAAUAAUUAUAAAAUACUAACAAUGCACAUGAUAUUAAACAUGAUAAUAAUAAUAUUAAACACGAAAUAAAAUCAUGAAUAUAUAUAUAAACAUAUAAUAGUACGUAAGGUGACGAAAAACAUAAUAUUAAAAAUACUAAUAAUGCUACAUAUAUAUAAAUACAUAUAUUAAAAUAUAUAUAAUAAUAGGUAUUAAAGGUGCAUUAAUAGUAUUGAAAAUAUGUACAUAAUAUAUAUAAAAAUAUAGUAUUAAAAAUAUAUACAUAAUAUAAACUUAAAAAUAAUAUAUAAAAAUAUAUACAUAAUAUCUAUUAAAAGAAUAUACACAUAAUAUAUAUGCAUGUAUUAAAAAUAAUAAUAAUAUUUAAAAAAUAAUUAUUAAUAAUGUUACAUAAAAGUAUAUAUAUAUGCAUGUUAAAAAUAUUAAUUGAAGCUAAAACUAAUACUAAUAAUAGUAAAAACUAAUAAUAUAAUAUAAUAUAAUAUAAUAUAAAAAUAAAGAAGUAAUAGUAAUAAUAUGAAGAUUAAUAAUAGUAAUAGUAACAAUAAUGAUAAUAUAUAUGUACAUGAAUAGUACUAAUAAUAAUACUAAAAUAAUUAAUUUUAAUAAUAAAGUAAUUAAAAAAGGAUCGAAUCAAAUUUAAAAAAAAGGCUUGGGGCGAAAUUGAAAUAAAAAGAAGAGAAGGGGACCAAUUUAAACGCGCGAAAAACAGGGGAGGGACCAAAAGCACAAUAAGCCCAUUUGCCCCAAAACGCGCAGUAUCAAGGGGACUAAAUCAGAAACCGAAGUAAACUGUUGGGUCAAAUUGAAAAUAACAACAAACUUGAUUGUAAAAUCAUAAAAACGUAGAAGGGCUAAAAGUGCAAUUAGCCCUUCCAUAGAAAACACGCGGAUCCUCCUUGAGUCGGGUCGGACGGAUCGGGUCUUCAUGCCAAACGACGUCGUUUUUGGGUCUAGGCCUGGGCACGAAAACGGUGCCGUUUUGGUAGGCUAUAAAAGCCUAAAAAUUUCCAAAAAAGUCAUUUCCACCAGGUUUAGGAAAAAACAGGAAAGAGAGCUCUCAUCUUCUCUCUGGGUUGACCCAGAUCUCGGCCUGGGGACCUAGGAGCUUCGCCGCAGGCCAGUCGCCGGUCACCGCACGCGGUGGCUUGAUCGGACUUGCUUGCUAUUUUGCUUGUGUUGGACUGAUUUUUUUAGUGUUUUGAAUCUAUUGUUUGUAUUAAAAAGUGACCCCCCCACAUUACACUGUCUUUUGAUGGCUUUUAUAGCCUUUUACAAAUGCUUUCCCUUUAUUAUUUUAUGUUUGCUGUCCUUUUCUUUUAAUUCUUGCAGAUGCAACUUGAGGACGGUGGCAAUAGUGACAUGACAGAGGCGGUCGUGGCAGAGGCUGAGUCGGCAGCAGCUAGGUUUAGGAAGAUUAGGGUUUUUCGAUUUUGGGCUAGAGUAAUUUUGGGUUUCUGUUGGGUUUAUUGUUUGGGUUAGUUUAGGUAUUGAGUUAUGGGUUUAAGUGUAAUGGGUUACGGGUUAAGGGUAAUUAGUUUUAGGUUUUGUUUUAAUUGGUUUUCAAAUGUAAAUGAGCCAUUCGGGUUUAAGUUGUAAAUGGGGCAAAAUUGGGCUAUAACAGGGAGCAUCACAUUUUACGACACAAUCUUGAUGUUAUGCAUAUUGAGAAAAAUGUUUGCGAGGACAUCAUUGGGAUAUUUUUGAAUAUCGAUGAAAAAUCGAAAGACAAUCUUCAG